AGUCCCGGUUACGGACCCAGCGUACCCGCCCUACCAUGAGAUGAUCACCUGAUCUCGCCUCCCUGAUUUUGGCCAUGAGAUGGCCUUCAUCAGCCCGUGUCGGCUGUCAUGCCUCUCGCCCCAUCAAUGGAUAUUUUUAGCCGGACAUUGUUUUCCUUCAAUAUGAUAUCUUCAAACUUCUAUUUAUGGUUUUAUUCCAGCUAGCUUUACCUACACUUUAACAAAAUAUCUCGUCUUCAUAACUUCGUGCAAGUGGACAUUCCCUUCAACUUCACU